rnacentral:rRNA from 1 species
UAGUUGGUGGGGUAAAGGCCUACCAAGGCGACGAUCUGUAGCGGGUCUGAGAGGGUGAUCCGCCACACUGGAACUGAGACACGGUCCAGACUCCUACGGGAGGCAGCAGUGGGGAAUUUUGGACAAUGGGGGCAACCCUGAUCCAGCCAUGCCGCGUGAGUGAAGAAGGCCUUCGGGUUGUAAAGCUCUUUCGUCCGGGAAGAAAUCGCACAGGCUAAUACUCUGUGUGGAUGACGGUACCGGAAUAAGAAGCACCGGCUAACUACGUGCCAGCAGCCGCGGUAAUACGUAGGGUGCGAGCGUUAAUCGGAAUUACUGGGCGUAAAGCGUGCGCAGGCGGUUUUGUAAGACAGGCGUGAAAUCCCCGGGCUCAACCUGGGAACUGCGCUUGUGACUGCAAGGCUAGAGUACGGCAGAGGGGGGUGGAAUUCCACGUGUAGCAGUGAAAUGCGUAGAGAUGUGGAGGAACACCGAUGGCGAAGGCAGCCCCCUGGGCCGAUACUGACGCUCAUGCACGAAAGCGUGGGUAGCAAACAGGAUUAGAUACCCUGGUAGUCCACGCCCUAAACGAUGUCAACUAGGUGUUGGGUGGGUAAAACCAUUUAGUACCGUAGCUAACGCGUGAAGUUGACCGCCUGGGGAGUACGGCCGCAAGGUUAAAACUCAAAGGAAUUGACGGGGACCCGCACAAGCGGUGGAUGAUGUGGAUUAAUUCGAUGCAACGCGAAAAACCUUACCUACCCUUGACAUGUCCGGAAUCCCUGAGAGAUUGGGGAGUGCCCGAAAGGGAAUCGGAACACAGGUGCUGCAUGGCUGUCGUCAGCUCGUGUCGUGAGAUGUUGGGUUAAGUCCCGCAACGAGCGCAACCCUUGUCGUUAAUUGCCAUCAUUAAGUUGGGCACUUUAGCGAGACUGCCGG